UACGUAGGGGGCGAGCGUUGUCCGGAUUUAUUGGGCGUAAAAGGCUUGUAGGUGGCCACGUCAAGUCGGAUGUGAAAUCUCCCGGCUCAACUGGGAGGGGUCAUUCGAUACUGGCGGGCUCGAGGCCGGUAGGGGGAAGCGGAAUUCCCGGUGUAGUGGUGGAAUGCGUAGAUAUCGGGAGGAACACCAGUGGCGAAGGCGGCUU
rnacentral:rRNA from 1 species